UACGUAGGGUGCGAGCGUUGUCCGGAAUUACUGGGCGUAAAGAGCUCGUAGGUGGUUUGUCGCGUUGUCCGUGAAAACUCACAGCUCAACUGUGGGCGUGCGGGCGAUACGGGCAGACUGGAGUACUGCAGGGGAGACUGGAAUUCCUGGUGUAGCGGUGGAAUGCGCAGAUAUCAGGAGGAACACCGGUGGCGAAGGCGGGUCUCUGGGCCACUACUGACGCUGAGAAGCGAAAGCGUGGGGAGCGAACAGG
rnacentral:rRNA from 1 species